rnacentral:rRNA from 1 species
UACGAAGGGGGGCUAGCGUUGCUCGGAAUCACUGGGCGUAAAGCGCGCGUAGGCGGCUUUGUAAGUUAGAGGUGAAAGCCCGGAGCUCAACUCCGGAAUUGCCUUUAAGACUGCAUCGCUAGAAUCAUGGAGAGGUGAGUGGAAUUCCGAGUGUAGAGGUGAAAUUCGUAGAUAUUCGGAAGAACACCAGUGGCGAAGGCGACUCACUGGACAUGUAUUGACGCUGAGGUGCGAAAGCGUGGGGAGCAAACAGG